UCGAAUGAGAGAUCUGGAUACAGCAGUGAGAUUUGGAUGCAAUAUCUAUAAUCUAUCCAAUAUUUGUUGUUGGAUCUAGAUGCAUGUUUUUUUCUUGAUCACUUUUCCUAUGAACUGCAGAUUCGUUUUUCUUCAAUUUACCUUUUAUCCCAUGUCGCCUCCUACCACCAGCUAGAGACAUCCACCCUAUAAAGAAUUUGACCAUAUAGAGUUAUCACGAAAACUGGACUCAGAUGUUCAUGUAGUGUGGGGAAUAAAUGUUCUUGGAGUAAGACAAUCUUCUGAACUCAGUUAUUUGUUUGGUAAAACGUUGGUUCCAGAUUUCAGUUAAAAAUGCUAUUGCAAGACAAUCUUCUGGCUGCUACCAUACAUAUUUAGGUUGUGUGGUGCACCACUUUGUUAUAUCAACUGAUUAUAUAACGUAGCAUUUGAAGAUAUUUGAGUUUCUGCUUUUUUAGUUGAGUUUAAUCGGCUGGUUAUUCUAGGUGUUCUCCAUAUAGCCUAAGGUAACAUCCAGUUGUGUGUAAUAUUUGAUAGCUGAACAUCUAGGGAUUCUCACGUAGUAUAUUCAGUGGAUUCUUGCAGAAUAUACUACGUGAGAAUUAGUAGUAGAAAGAUGACUCCCUUUUACUAAUGCAAAGAAGACACAUUUAUAUGAUUUUACCAAGUUUGUUUGCAAUUUAGUACAUACCAUGGAUGGAGAGUUGGUCUUGCAGACAGUCUGAACAAGUGCAUAAUAUUUUACAUUUUCCAGAGAACAGUACACAGGGAAGAUGGUCACAAAAUUGGCUCAACAAUUGCAAGAUGAAGGUUGAUGUCUCUUUUUCCUUGAUAGAUGGAAGAUUUGGCUCUACACUUUAAUAAGAAGGUGAUUGACCUCCCUAAAAAAAGGUGAUUGACUAAAGCUACUGCCACAAAAUCAGAAGGUCUUUGUGCGCCACACAUCAUGCAGAAUUUAUAGUCUUUUGCAAGUGCCAUGAGCCGCAGGCUGCUCCGUGAAGCUGGCAAUUUGCCUACUCUUUCAAGAAAGACGAUGGUUACACUAAUGGUACUGAAUUAAACAGGUGCAGGGGCUCUCCAACUAGGCAAGUAUUGUCAAAAAAAAAUCUCAGUAUUAUUUGAUGUGUCCUCAUUGUCAUGGGCAGGCAUGUACGAAGAAUCAAGAUACCUCACUGGGUAAACAAAACCCUUUUUCAGGUUAAUUAAAUGCAUAUGCAACGCUUCAUGUUUAUGUAAUAGAACAAGCUUUGUUCUAGGUGGUUUCCACCUAUUUUUCAGGUUCUGUGAAGUAUAAAAGGAGAUGCAGAGCCGUGGGGCUUGAAGUGACACAAACGACGAUGAUGCACGCAGCAACACAAACGGCUGUACUACUACGCAGGUGUAUGAUAAGAGAGGUGACUUAUGUACUAACCAGCCUUAUUCCCAAAAUGGUAAAUAUCAACCAUAUACUCGGCAGCUAAUUCUGUUGUCAUAAUGGAAUGCAUUAGUGUUCCACUAAAGGAAGUAAUAAGCUAGCAAGCAAAUGUAUCGCCCUUAGAUAAAGUACCACAAAACUUCUUAAACCUUGACCGGUAAAAUGUCAAACUAAGUUUUUAAAAAAAUUGUCGACAAUUUUUGUUAACUUAUUUUUGUAGACUGUACCGCCUUUUGUCUUCCUGAUAGACUGCAUGGAUGUGUCAAAAAAAGUUCUUAAAAUAGAAAUAACAUUUGCGAGUAUGCUACUGCUACUUGACGGUUGGGGCCGCUCGGUAGAUUGGGUCGUCGGCGGCGGUGUUGCACGAUCUGUGCAAGAGUUGCAAGGUGUGCCUUCUUCUUUGCGUGUUGGAUUUGAGCGCGGAGCAGAUCGAGGCGUUGAGCGGGUGACCCAGCUGGUGCUCAUCGUCCGCACUGUGUAUUUGCUGUCCUAUGAUCAUUGGUAAAUUCAUUCUUUUAUUAUUAGAUCGUAUUCAACUGAAGAAUGAAGAUGUGAUUUUUUCUGGAUCACGACACCCAUUGGUUCAGUUUACCAAUCUCCAUGGACUCCAUGUUUCUCCCAAUGUCACUUCCUUGCAUGAAUUUUUCAUCUGAUUUGCUUCCAUCUUUUGCUAUAUCCAGAUCAGUUCAUAGAAAAAGGAGCAUACUUGAUUUUGAAUAAUGCAAUGAGCAAGUUACCGGUCAGUAUCAUAGUCAUUUUAAAUUUGUAACGCCUCCAUUUAAGACGUAUCUGUCUUUUACAUGAUAUGGGGAAAAGAUGUGAGUCAGUCCCCGCUCUUCGGUAAACAAACACUCUGUACUAUGCAAUUAGCAAUUUACUUCUUUGUUCUUGGGCAGUAAUUUAUUAAGGUCUCACUCAACUUUGUUUGUCUAGAAAAUUUACAAGAGCGCAUCAGGCUGACAAAAGAAUUUAGUCUGCCUCCAAAAGGGCAUAGGAUGAAUAGAGAUAAGCUAGAGGUCUGCCGAUCACUACAUUUAUCUCUUUGUUCAUUGCUAAUCAUUGUCAUGAUUACAUAUAAGCAUUAUUGUUCAUGCUCUCUUUUCUACGCUCUUUUUCAAUUCUGAAAUUCCGAGUCAAUUUGUAAACAUGAAUUGCGAGAUUAACCUUUUUUUAGAUCAAUUGCGAGAUUAACUAGAACGUGCUUCAGCACCUGUUUUUCUGAAGCACUGGCGAUAGUAUUAAAACAUUCUCAAAUGAACUUGAUCUAUGAAAAGCUGAGAGAGUUCGUAUUGGACUUGAUCUUCGGUAGUAGACUCAUGUCUAAAGUAUUGCAACGGCAUGCCUUGAGCUCUGCACAAUUAGAUGAAUAGAAUGCAUUCUUUUUCCUAUCAAUCAGAUGUGGUGUAGUGAAUGUUAACAAUGCUUCACUUGGCUAGCUAAUAGAGCUCUUUUUUUUACAUCUUGGUAAUGUAGGUGCUCUUCCUCAACUUCGGAGAUGAGUCAAAGGUAAUGUAGUCUUUUGUUUUGAAAAUGGAAGCUUUUCUUGACCCCUAAUUGCAUACAGUGCUCAUCAUCGAAGGUGUCUGAAGAUGAUUUAGUUUACCAAGCCAUAUAUAUGAAAACAUGAAAUUCACAGCAUUAACCUGCAAAUAGAAACUGUUGUGCUUGCUGUUCUUUUGCUCUACAUUUUUGUAGCUACAAUGAUCCAUAUAUUAUCAUGUCUAAAUUAGGAUGGCUGACGCAUCUAUCUUGAGCUGUUGCAUGACAUACAUAUUUGCGGGCAGCAAUCCUAUAUAUGGUUUGUCCAAGUUGAGAAGUUCUUCUCCUUAAGAGACAAAUUUUAGAUUAAUUGUUAUAGAUUUUUAUCUACUUAAUUACGGGACUCUUUAUAGGGAGAACAUAAAAUUUACAUGAAAUUGAUGCAUCUAUAGAAAUAUGUAUUAUGUUAAAAGUUUUUGCAAGGAUCAGAUAUCUCAAGUGUUGAGUUUGUAUUAUCUGUAUGCAUAUUUUUCCCACAAUUUUGCAUAAGAUCAGUGAUAUACAUACGGUAUUUCUUCAUAUUAACCCUAAGGUUACUAUGUUAUGAGCAAGUAUUUCACAUUAGUCUAUUCCCCCAAGACUAAGAUUCCAGACACUGCUCUUAGCUGCUGUUGAGGUCGAGUAAGAGGUUAUUAGUCAUUGGUAUUCUGUUUUUGAUUCGCU